rnacentral:rRNA from 1 species
GAUAAGUGGAGGUUGAUCCUGCCUCGGGAUGAACGUUUUCGGUAAGCUUAACACAUGCUAGUUGAAUGGUUUUUUAAAAUACAUAGCGGACAGGUGCGUAAUACCUUGAUAUCUGCCCUUUGGUUGAGGAUAAAAUACUCAAUAUUAGAAAGAUUAUAUCGCCAGGGGAUGAUUUGAGGCAGGUUUAGGUAGUUGGUAAGGUAAUGGCUUACCAAGCCCACAAUCCUUAGUCGGUCUGGGAGGAUGUACGACCACAUUGGAACUGAGACAAGGACCAAACUCUAUGAGUCAGCAGUGAGGAAUUUUGGGCAAUGAACGCAAGUUUGACCCAGCUAUACCGAUGGGUGAUAGAAGGAGUAAACUCUGUAAAGCCUUAUGCAUAUAAAAGAUGUAGACUUUGUAUGUAGUAGUUCCGUCUAAUACUCGUGCCAGCAGACGCGGUAAUACGGGAGGAGCGAACGUUAUCCUACAUGACUGGGUGUAAAGGGUCCUACGACGGUAGAUUAAGUUGUUAGCAUAAGAUGGAAGCAUAACUUUCAAAAGAUUUUCAAAACUGGUCUGCUAGAGUUUGGGAGAAGAUAAUAGAAGUUUUCAUGGAGGGAUGAAAUCUGUCGAUAUGAAAGCGAAUACCAGAGGCGAAGGCGAUUAUCUAGCUCAAACUGACGUUCAAGGACGAAAGGGUAGGGAGCGAACAGGAUUAGAGACCCUGGUAGUCUACCCCCUAAAAUAUGGGUGCCGGUUUUUAGAUAAAAUUCUAGAGGCCAAGUUUACGCGUUAAGCGCCCCACCUGGGAACUACGAUCGCAAGAUUGAAACUCAAAGGAAUUGGCGGGGACCUAAGCAAGUGGUGGAGCAUGUGGUUUAAUGCGAUAAUCCGCGCAAAAACUUACCAGUUCUUGUAUUUUUUUAUUCGAAUAGAAAAACAGGUGUUGCAUGGCUGUCGUCAGUUCGUGUCUAAGAUAUUUGGUUAAUUCCAUUAACGGACGUAACCCUCGAUAUUAGUAAUUAUUUAAAUUAUAGAUGAAUUUAAAAAUCUAAUAUGAUGCGUAUCGAAAGAGAGUGAAAGGGGAUAAUGACAAGUCUUUAUGGCCCUUAUGAACUGGGCUACACAUGUGCUACAAUGUUUAAUACAAAAAGAAGCAAUAAAGUGAUUUAGAGCAAAUCUUAAAGUUAAACGUAGUUCGGAUUAUAGAUUGGAACUCAUCUAUAUGAAGCUGGAAUCACUAGUAAUCGUGAAUCAAAAGCGUCACGGUGAAUAAGCCACUGGGUCUUGUACACACUGCCCGUCACAUGCCGGAAGUUUAUUCUAUUUAAAGCCUAAUCUUAACAAUGGAAAUCUUAUUAAUUAAAUAUAAGUUAUUUAUAUCUUAGUAGGUAUUUCUAUUUAAUAGACGGUUAGAUUAGAUGGAUGACCGGGAUGAAGUCGUAACAAGGUAAUCGUAGGGGAACCUGCGGUUGGAGUAAACACAUA